rnacentral:rRNA from 1 species
CGCGUAGGCGGCCCGGCAAGUGGCGUGUGAAAGCCCCUGGCUCAACCAGGGAACUGCGCUCCAAACUGCCGGGCUUGAGGACAGUAGAGGAAACUGGAAUUCCAGGUGUAGCGGUGAAAUGCGUAGAUAUCUGGAGGAACACCAUUGGCGAAGGCGAGUUUCUGGGCUGAUCCUGACGCUGAGGCGCGAAAGCUGGGGGAGCAAACA